CAACAUGGUGAAAACCCGUCUCUACUAAAAAUACAAAAAUUAGCCAGAUGUAGUGGCGCCUGUAAUUCCAGCUACUUGGGAGGCUGAGGCAAGAGAAUCGCUAGAACCUGGGAGGUGGUGGUUGCAGUGACCCGAGAUCGGGCCAUUGCACUCCAGCUUGGGGAACAGAGCGAGACUCCAUCUCACCAAAAAAAAAAAAAAAAAAAAAAAAAAAAAAAAAAAAAAAAAGGGCCAGGCACGGUGGCUCACAUCCUCACAUCUGUAAUCCCAGCACUUUGGGAGGCCACGGUGGGCAGAUCAUGAGAUUGGGAGUUUGAGAACAGUCUGGCCAACAUGGCAAAACCCCGUCUCUACUAAAAAUACAAUAAUUAGCUGGCAGUGGUGGCAGGCGCCUGCAAUCCCAGCUACUCAGGAGGCUGAGGCAGGAGAAUCACUUCACCCCGGAGGCAGAGGCUGCAGUGAGCCAAGAUCGUGCCAUUGCACUCCAGCCUGGGCGACAAGAGCAAGACUCAGUCUCAAAAUAAAUAAAUAAAUAAAUAAUAAAAAGACCUUUAGAGUCAGACAGACCUCAGCUUCAGUCCCAGCGGUUAUGUUCUAGCUGUGUGAUUAUAAGUUCAAUAUGCUCUCUAAGCCUCAGUUUCCUCAUUUGUGAAAUACAAUAGUUGGACAAUAAUACUUAUUUCCUGGGUAAGACCAAAUGAAAUACUCAGUGUCUGGAAAAUUGUGGGCCUUACCUAUGUUAUAAACCAUAUCUUAGCUAAUAAAUAAUUUUCCUCCUUCUUCCAGGCAUUAUGACAACAAUGUAAACCUUCUACCUGUUUAUAAAAACAAGGUAUUAGGAUAUCACUAUGAGGACUCUGUCAGAAUCCCUUGAUAACGCCAAUAUUAUAAACAAAGCUUCCCAAAAAAACAGAGGUCCCAGACCAGGCACAUAUCUUCUAAGCCUUACAAAUAAGGGGGGUAAAGUUAUUUAGAUAUGAGAGUAGCUUCUUUCUCAGUGACAAUGUAUAACACAACCAACUGUGAAGUUGGACAUAGCCAAGUUAGAAUCCACUUUUCUGAUUUUGAGAUCUUAGAGAAAUUACUUAACCUUUCUGAGGCUGUGUGAAAUGAAGAUAAUAAAUAAGGCCUGCCUCCAAGAGUUGUUUAACGAACUCUUGGUGGUUCAUGCCUGUAAUCCCAGCACUCUGGGAGGUCAAGGCAGGACAAUUACUUUAGCCCAGGAGUUUGAGACCAGCCUGAGCA
rnacentral:lncRNA from 1 species